rnacentral:rRNA from 1 species
GAGGUCCCGCCUGCCCUGUGACUAUAAGUUUAACGGCCGCGGUAUUUUAACCGUGCGAAGGUAGCGUAAUCACUUGUCCUUUAAAUGAAGACCUGUAUGAAUGGCAUCACGAGGGCUUAGCUGUCUCCCAUCCCUAGUCAAUGAAAUUGACCUCCCCGUGCAGAGGCGGGGAUAACUCCAUAAGACGAGAAGACCCUAUGGAGCUUUAGACCUAAAGUAAAUCACGUUUAACAUCCUGCAAUAAUAGUAAAAACUUACUGAUACUUACUGAAGUGUCUUUGGUUGGGGCGACCGCGGGGUAAAACACAACCCCCAUGUGGACCGGGGAUACAAUCCCUAACACUCAGAGCCUCUACUCCAAGUAACAGAAAUUCUGACUUUUCUGAUCCGGUAGCACCGAUCAACGAACCGAGUUACCCUAGGGAUAACAGCGCAAUCUCCUCUCAGAGCCCAUAUCGACGAGGGGGUUUACGACCUCGAUGUUGGAUCAGGACAUCCUAAUGGUGCAGCCGCUAUUAAGGGUUCGUUUGUUCAACGAUUAAAGUCCUACGUGA